rnacentral:rRNA from 1 species
CGCCCUUCCAGAGUUUGAUCCUGGUUCAGGAUGAACGCUGGCUGUAUGCCUAAUACAUGCAUGUCGAGCGAAGCACUUGUGCUUAGCGGCGAAUGGGUGAGUAACACGUACUUAAUCUGCCCUUUAGAUUGGGACAACAGUUGGAAACGACUGCUAAUACCGAAUAUGCUUGGAAACAUAAGUUUCCGUAGUGAAAGAUGCGUUUGCAUCACUAAAGGAUGAGAGUGCGGAACAUUAGCUAGUUGGUAGGGUAAAGGCCUACCAAGGCUAUGAUGUUUAGCGGGGUCGAGAGGCUGAACCGCCACACUGGGACUGAGAUACGGCCCAGACUCCUACGGGAGGCAGCAGUAGGGAAUCUUCCACAAUGGGCGAAAGCCUGAUGGAGCAAUACAGCGUGCUGGAUGAAGGCCUUCGGGUUGUAAACAGCUGUUAUUAGGGAAGAACAACAUUGAUAGGAAAUGAUCAGUGCCUGACGGUACCUAAUGAGAAAGCACCGGCAAAACAUGUGCCAGCAGCCGCGGUAAUACAUGUGGUGCAAGCGUUAUCCGGAAUUAUUGGGCGUAAAGCGUUCGUAGGCGGUUUAUUAAGUCUGGAGUUAAAUCCUGGGGCUCAACCCCAGUCUGCUUUGGAUACUGAUAGACUAGAGUUAUAGAGAGGUUAGUGGAACUCCAUGUGAAGCGGUGGAAUGCGUAGAUAUAUGGAAGAACACCAAUGGCGAAGGCAACUAACUGGCUAUACACUGACGCUGAGGAACGAAAGCGUGGGGAGCAAACAGGAUUAGAUACCCUGGUAGUCCACGCCGUAAACGUUGAUCGUUAGCCGGUGGAGAAUUCACUGGCGCAGCUAACGCGUUAAACGAUCCGCCUGAGUAGUAUGCUCGCAAGAGUGAAACUCAAAGGAAUUGACGG